CGCUGCGCAUGGGCGGAGCCUGACCCAGCCAUGCCGCGUGCAGGAUGAAGGCCUUCUGGGUUGUAAACUGCUUUUACCAGGGAAGAAAACACCCAUGCGUGGGGAACUGACGGUACCUGGGGAAUAAGCACCGGCUAACUCCGUGCCAGCAGCCGCGGUAAUACGGAGGGUGCAAGCGUUGUCCGGAUUUAUUGGGUUUAAAGGGUGCGUAGGCGGCCCCUUAAGUCAGCGGUGAAAGCCCGGGGCUCAACCCCGGAACUGCCGUUGAUACUGGGGGGCUUGAGUACAGACGAGGUAGGCGGAAUUGAGGAUGUAGCGGUGAAAUGCUUAGAUAUCCUCAAGAACACCGAUUGCGUAGGCAGCUUACUAGGCUGUAACUGACGCUGAGGCACGAAAGCGUGGGGAGCGAACAGGAUUAGAUACCCUGGUAGUCCACGCCGUAAACGAUGACUACUCGAUGUCGGCGACAAACUGUCGGCGUCUUAGCGAAAGCGUUAAGUAGUCCACCUGGGGAGUACGCCCGCAAGGGUGAAACUCAAAUGAAAUUGACGGA
rnacentral:rRNA from 1 species